rnacentral:misc_RNA from 1 species
UUGCCACAUGGGUUACAUAUUUGCUGAACUGUAUAACCUUUAUAAUAUGGACCCCAAAACUUCUUCUUUUUUUUCUCUUUAAUUCUUUUUCUUUAUUGCAGGAGAAAUUAAUGAAAGAAUAAUAAAAGCUAUAUGCCUUCCUCUAUUUUGUGCCAAUCACUCAUCAUUUCUCUUUAGCUCCAUAGCUAGGCUUCCCUCAUGGAAAAACAUAUCAACUUAGAGAUUGAUACUCAAGACAACUUCCUUGCCUCAUCUUCCAUCACUUCCUGCGCUUCCUCAUCGUCCUCGUCCUCUUCUUCUUCCAUAACCUUUCCAUGCUCAAAAAUUGAAGAAAACUGUGCAGCUCCAAAAGGUUCAUCGAGAAAAACUCAAGAUGAGAGUAGGAAAAGGCAAAAGACUGACAAUGAGAAUGGGAAUGAGCACCCAACAUAUAGAGGAGUAAGAAUGAGGAGUUGGGGCAAAUGGGUGUCUGAAAUCAGAGAGCCAAGGAAGAAAUCAAGAAUAUGGCUUGGAACAUACCCUACAGCCGAAAUGGCGGCUCGAGCCCACGAUGUAGCUGCUCUAGCCAUCAAAGGGAGCUCUGCUUACCUGAACUUCCCCGAACUGGCACACGAACUUCCCCGUCCGGUCACCAAGUCUCCUAAGGACAUUCAAGCUGCCGCUGCCAAGGCAGCAACUGCGGCUUUCCCCGAAAGGACUCAGUACCAAGAUGAAGCGGAGCAUAUGUCAGAAUCACACAAUUUGGCCUUGGACAACACACAAGAAUCAACAAGCUCUCCUUCCGCUGAUUCUGAUGACACAUUGUUUGACCUGCCGGAUCUAUUCAUCGGCGGAGUUGAUCAAAGGAAUGGAUUUUGCCAAUAUUCUUCAUCAUGGCAGCUGUGUGCAGCGGACACUGGCUUCCGGUUGGAGGAGCCAUGCUUAUGGGAGUACUAUUGGAGAAAUUCUUUUGACACCAAAAGUAAAUAACCUGGAAAAUUUGGAUACAUUUAACCACCAAAGUCGCUGCAUUAAUUCUAUCAACAGAAAGAAACCCAAUUGGGGAAAUUAGUCCCAAUUGAAUCCAGAAUUUAGUGUCUGUCCUAAUUCGGUUAGCUCUGGAAUUGCAGAAAGAUUACACUUUCCCUGUUUGUCCCAUCGAAACAACACCAAGGGCAUUGAAACUUUACUCCUGUGUAAUAUAAGAGCACAGCUUUCUUUACCUGUAUGGAGG